CGGCUCCGAGGCUCCAGGGGAGGGCGGCGGCCUCGCCAGGCUCCAGGACUGCCUAGCCAGGCUCCAAGAUGGGCCAAGACUGCCAAGGCCUUCGGGUCCUGGGCGGGAAGGACCCUGGCAGGGAGGAGCUUCUUAGGGGAGCGCAGGCUUCAGGCGAGGCGGAGCCCAGACUAGGAGGACGCAGACACCAGGAGGGGAGGAGGCGUGUCAGCGCCGCGUGAGCAUCCCACCCGGCCGGCUGCCGGGAUGUGCGGCGAAGGUGGCAAGAGCAAAAGAGCGGUCCUAAGGUGGCCAUCCCAGACUCCGACCAGAAGAUUCGGGGAGGAGCCAGAACCCCAGGAUGCCGAGGUCCCAAUCAAGCAGGUGCGAGACAAGACCGAGCCUAGGGACAGGAUCAGCAUCUUCUCUACAGAGAAAGCUGCAUGAGGCCAGAGAGUGGACCCGAAAGACUCGCCGGAAAGAGAAACCGAAAGCGGCGGUGGGCGGGACCGGUGGGCGGGGCCUCUGCCAGUUUUAAGAGUCUGAUGCAGGGGCGGGCAGCAAUAGAGCGAGCUGCGGCCGUGGCAGCUGCACGGCUCCCGGCCCCGGAGCAUGCGCGACAGCCGCCCCGGAGCCUCCAGCCGCGGCGCCCCGCGUCCCGCCGCCAGGUGAGCCGGGGCGGCGGAGGAGGCGGCGGGAGGGGAUGGGAGUAAGGGGAGCAGAGCCCGAUAGGACGAGCCUCGCCGAGUGCGUGGUGGGGUCGUGGAUGCCACGCCUCUGGCGCCCUCCCGCCCCACCGGCUCGCCCAGGCGGGCCCCGGCGCGCGUGGGGUGUCGGCUGCGCCUCUUCUCCGGCCCGGAGCCAUCUCCCGCUCGGGUUCCAGUCCCCGGCGUGGCCAGCAGGCGGCAGCCGCUGGGCGGCGAGCCACCAGCGGGGACGGCCCGGAGUCGGGCCCCUCUCCACGCCCCCUUCUCCACGCGCGCGGGGAGGCUGGGCUCCACAGCCAGCCUGGAAGGGUUCCACGUACGGGAACGGCCUACUUCGCAGAUGAGCCCACCGAGGCUCAGAGGCUCCGGGCGGAUUCCGCGUUCCGCCCUGGCUCCUUGGGGUUCUCUGGCCGGCCAGCGCCACCCGGACGCCCGGCUCACUGCCUCUGUCUCCCCCAUCAGCGCAGCCCCGGACGCUAUGGCCCACCCCUACGACUGGCCCCUCGUAUAGGAUGGUAGCACGCAACCAGGUGGCAGCUGACAAUGCGAUCUCCCCGGCAGCAGAGCCCCGACGGCGGCCAGAAUCCUCGUCAUCCUCGUCUUCGUCCUCGCCGGCUGUCCCCGCGCGUCCGCGGCCCUGCCCUGCGGUCCCGGCUCCGGCCCCUGGCGACACACACUUCCGCACGUUCCGCUCCCACUCUGAUUACCGACGAAUCACGCGGACCAGCGCGCUCUUGGACGCCUGCGGCUUCUACUGGGGACCCCUGAGCGUGCACGGGGCGCACGAGCGGCUGCGUGCCGAGCCCGUGGGCACCUUCCUAGUGCGCGACAGUCGCCAACGGAACUGCUUCUUCGCACUCAGCGUGAAGAUGGCUUCGGGCCCCACGAGCAUCCGCGUGCACUUCCAGGCCGGCCGCUUCCACCUGGACGGCAGCCGCGAGACCUUCGACUGUCUCUUCGAGCUGCUGGAGCACUACGUGGCGGCGCCGCGCCGCAUGUUGGGGGCCCCGCUGCGCCAGCGCCGCGUGCGGCCGCUGCAGGAGCUGUGUCGCCAGCGCAUCGUGGCCGCCGUGGGUCGCGAGAACCUGGCGCGCAUCCCUCUUAACCCGCCGAAAUAAAACAGAAAAGCGAACGGAACACAGAGCCAAAGGAUGGAAGAACGAAGAACAAAAUAAACCAGGCAACAUGAAGAAUGGGGUGGAGAGCAGAGGAGACACAGGUUCCUUCCUGGUCCUUCGGAGCUUAUAUGCUGGCUUCCAGUCUGAGCA